GUGUUGUAUGAAUAGAGAGAAGGUUAGCCCCUCCUUGACAAGCAUGGACAAGGCUUUGGGGCUUGGCAACAUGAAUUCAGGGCAUUUUUACCUACACUGUGGCAUCUAACUAUCAUUUUUU
ensembl:snRNA